rnacentral:rRNA from 1 species
UACGUAGGGUCCGAGCGUUGUCCGGAAUUACUGGGCGUAAAGAGCUCGUAGGUGGUUUGUCGCGUUGUUCGUGAAAACUCACAGCUCAACUGUGGGCGUGCGGGCGAUACGGGCAGACUAGAGUACUGCAGGGGAGACUGGAAUCCUGGUGUAGCGGUGGAAUGCGCAGAUAUCAGGAAGAACACCCGUGGCGAAGGCGGCUCUCUGGAAACGCAACUGGACGCUGAGACGCGAAAGCGUGGGGAGCAAACAGG